AUUGAACGCUGGCGGCAGGCCUAACACAUGCAAGUCGAACGAGUGGCGCACGGGUGAGUAAUGUCUGGGACACUGCCUGAUGGAGGGGGAAAAAUUCUGGAAACGGUAGCUAAUACCGCAUACCAUCGGAUGUGCCCAGAUGGGAUUAGCUAGUAGGUGGGGUAACGUCUCACCUAGGCGACGAUCCCUAGCUGGUCUGAGAGGAUGACCAGCCACACUGGAACUGAGACACGGUCCAGACUCCUACGGGAGGCAGCAGUGGGGAAUAUUGCACAAUGGGCGCAAGCCUGAUGCAGCCAUGCCGCGUGUAUGAAGAAGGCCUUCGGGUUGUAAAGUACUUUCAGCGGGGAGGCGUUACCCGCAGAAGAAGCACCGGCUAACUCCGUGCCAGCCGCCGCGGUAAUUC
rnacentral:rRNA from 1 species